UACGUAGGGCGCAAGCGUUGUCCGGAAUUAUUGGGCGUAAAGAGCUCGUAGGCGGCUUGUCACGUCGGAUGUGAAAGCCCCAGGCUUAACUCCGGGUCUGCAUUCGAUACGGGCUGGCUAGAGUGUGGUAGGGGGAGAUCGGAAUUCUGGUGUAGCGGUGAAAUGCGCAGAUAUCAGGAGGAACACCGGUGGCGAAGGCGGAUCUCUGGGCCCAUUACUGACGCUGAGGAGCGAAAAGCGUGGGGGAGCGAACAGG
rnacentral:rRNA from 1 species